rnacentral:rRNA from 1 species
UUGAACGCUGGCGGCAGGCCUAACACAUGCAAGUCGAGCGGAUGAAGGGAGCUUGCUCCUGGAUUCAGCGGCGGACGGGUGAGUAAUGCCUAGGAAUCUGCCUGGUAGUGGGGGAUAACGUCCGGAAACGGGCGCUAAUACCGCAUACGUCCUGAGGGAGAAAGUGGGGGAUCUUCGGACCUCACGCUAUCAGAUGAGCCUAGGCCGGAUUAGCUAGUUGGUGGGGUAAAGGCCUACCAAGGCGACGAUCCGUAACUGGUCUGAGAGGAUGAUCAGUCACACUGGAACUGAGACACGGUCCAGACUCCUACGGGAGGCAGCAGUGGGGAAUAUUGGACAAAGGGCGAAAGCCUGAUCCAGCCAUGCCGCGUGUGUGAAGAAGGUCUUCGGAUUGUAAAGCACUUUAAGUUGGGAGGGAGGGCAGUAAGUUAAUACCUUGCUGUUUUGACGUUACCAACAGAAUAAGCACCGGCUAACUUCGUG